UGAAGCUGGAAUUGCUAGUAAUGGCAGGUCAGCAUACUGCCGUGAAUACGUUCCCGGGCCUUGUACACACCGCCCGUCACACCAUGAGAGUUGGGAAUACCCGAAGCCUGUGAGCUAACUUUUAAGAGGCAGCAGUCGAAGGUAGAAUCAAUGAUUGGGGUGAAGUCGUAACAAGGUAAC
rnacentral:rRNA from 1 species